UUUGAUGUUUUACAAACUGACUGAUAGUCGCAGUUUUAUUUUGCGUGCAUUAGGAGUUGUGAUGUUUGAUGCGCUUGGCAUGUAGUAGAAGAGCUGAUUAAACUUGUCCUUGAUGUGUACAACCUUGUGAUUUGCCGCUGACUUUGUUCACAUUACGGACUUCGGAGUGUUCAUUGCAAGUCUCUGUUCUGUUACUGCUGUAAUAGUAGCCCACCUGUGAAGGCAUUGUCUCCAACUGUCUUAGCGUUCGACUGCUUUAUUUUCAUGUUGAGAGAAUGGAGUUUAACUCGGAUGAUACUGCUUGCUGCAUAAUUGAUGUUCAUUUUCCAAACUGAAUUAGUGAGAUGGGUAUGAUUGCAAUUGAAUAAUUCUUGUUCUGUAUCAUGAGUUCAUAUCUAAAUAAACUGCGGCUUAUUAGUGCCACCGCAUUGCUGUCAACGUGCCAAGGAUGUUGCAAAAUUCCCCGCAUUUUUGUAAACUACUCCCUCUGUCCAAUAAUAUUAUCAGACGGAGGGAGUACCUAUUUGAACAUGGCAAGAAUAAUGAUAGUAUCGGAAGUUAAACUUAGUUUCAUUGCAUCCAUAGGCUGUGGAUGCUCUAAGGAGGCAUCAUCUUCUGUGCCAUCAGGCUGGUUGCAACCGCCUUUAACCAGGAAGCCUGUGUUUAAUUCUCUUUUCUUUACGGGCUGACUUCCUGAUCGAAGCAACAUCUUUCACCUCGCGGGGGAAAAGAUCUUGAAUCCAUAUGCCAUUCAUGGGAGAAGAACAAAGGAGGAUGUAGAUCAUACAGUGGCGGCCAAAGCGUUUCCUUUGGAUGAAGUGGUGUUCUCGGUGUUUGCUGUAUGCAUUGUAACAUAUGAUGUAUCCUGGGGAUAUAUAUAUAUAGAGAGAGAUCUAGAGAUGUAAUGGCCAUGUGUAGACCUAGCUGUAAAUUAUGCAGCCCUUAGGUACAAACCUGAGUGUCCUGGCUUGUUGUGCUCUCAACCACAUGUAGCCAUGAUACAACUGAUUUGUUUACGAGCAUUGGGAUGCCCUCGCAGAAGGAAAAAGUAAAACCCAAGAGUCAAGAAAAAAAGAAAAACUAAUGAUACUUCCUUAGAACCACACGACAAUCGUGGUUAGCCACUUAAACCUGAUAUCAACAAUAGAUGACGGUUCCAUAGAGCAUCUACAUCCCCUGGAGAUAAACCUCUAUAUAUCUCCUGUAGGAAAAUAAUACUAGCUCUACAUCACCCUUUUUAGUCUUCCCGACUCCAUUGAUAUCAUAUGAACCAACCUGUGGUUGGAUUGUUAGGAGAACAAUGGUAUCCACAGUCCACCAGAGUUGUCUUAAAGAAACAAAGUCCAUUGAUAUCAUUAUAAUAGUAAUAACCAAGUAACUAAAUUGAAGUAGUUAAGAAGAAAUUCAUAGAAUUUAUUCUCUUUGAGAGAAAGAAAGCUAGUUUAAGAUGAAAGGAAGCAAGGUAACUUUACGCGCCUUGAUUAGUACUACUAAACAUUGUUCAUGGCACGUUUUCCUGAUCUUGGCAUGCACUGCACAUAGCGUGAUCCUUUCCAUGCACUUGUUGAAACAGAAUUGCUUCUUUAGACAUCUUAUCUUUUACUCUUAUUUUGGGAAACCCUAGCCGCUGUCCCCUCUACCACACCUCCUCCCAUCCUCUCGUCUCGCAGCCGCCGGAGCUCGCUGGCGGGCAAAGCUCAGUCGGUGGCGGCGGGGCAUCCUCUUCUCUUCGUGCGGGGCCGGGCAGCGCGUGACACGUUCUUCGCGCGGGGGCGCGUCGCUACGCGAGGCACGGCGGUGCAGGCGGCUGAGCCUCGGUAUGGAGGGUUGCUUGGCAGUGGUGGUGGCGGCGGCUAGUGCGUGGUGGCGGUGGACCAGGCCAGAUCGGAUCUGGAGGGUUCCUGGCGGUGGGCGGCGCGUGGGUGGGCAGCGACUUAGUAGGGUCUCUUUGGCCAUGGCCACGAUAGCGUGCAGGCCGUUGUUGUAGGGGUUCCAUGGCUGCUGGUCAGAUCCGCCCAGAUCUGACCCUAGGCGCCGACAGGCGGCUCGGGGUGGUGGCCGCGGACUCCUGGUUGGAUGUGGCUGCUUGGAUGUGGGCUGCAACGGCGUGGUGGCAGUCCAUGGCAGUGGGUUGGGUCGUUCCAUGAUGGCGGCUGGACAUCUCCGGCGUCGGUCGUCGGGGAGCGGCUCUUGCGGUGGCGACCUUCUUCCUGCGUCGGCUCGUCCGUAGGCGGCCCGUGGAGGCCUUCGAUCCCUCUCCUUGUCGUCCUGGCGCUACUUUUGUCGAAGGGCUGACCCUCUCCCAGUUGCGAUCCAUCGCCCGUCUCGCGCCCAGUGCUGCAGCACCGAGCUCGUCUUUCGCCUAGCAGCAGGACCAAUCUCGUCUCGCGCCCGGCAGCAGGACUGGCAUCGUCUCGCGCCCGGUGCUGCAGGACGGGUCGAUGGAGGCCAGUUUUGGCCGGCCUAGUGGUCUCAGCGCCGGGGGUCGCACAGGGGUGUGAAAGGCGGAACCUUUUCGCUCGUCUCUUUGGCUGGGUUAGCGGCGGGCCUCAGGUGAGGUGGUGUCAAGGUCUUGGAUGCCAGGGCGGCGGCCCUGGUGGUGGUAGCAUGAUGCUCUUGGGCAGAGCCCGUGGCUUGGUGCUGCCCGGUGGCCAUGGCCGUGAGGGCGGUGUGGUAGCUGGGGUGUGGAGUUCGGUGGCGAUGAGUAUUGGCCGGCGUGAAAACCUGUUCUAUCUUUGGCUGGACCGGCGACGGCGAAGCUCGUUCCCUUCUUGAAGGUGUCGCCGUGGCUCUCAUUGCCCAUCGUGUUGCUCCAGGGGAAACUCUAAUCCUUGGUUAGGACGGUGGCGGCGCUUUGGUAUUGUAACCUUCCUGAAGGCACCGCCUUGGAGCCCACGGUUCGUCAUAUGUGGCUUCAUCUCUUCGCGGUGGUGUGUUCACGGUUGAGGACCCCGGUUGCUCAUGUAGUGCUAGGGGCGGUGUUGCUACGCUCAACGCCUAUAUAUGUAUCCUGCCUUGGGUGUGUGCAUGUGUUGUGGUGGCAUGCGUUUGUACUGGGUUGUUGUUGAUCGUUGCUGUAUAUAUAAAGCGGGGUGAAAGCCUUUUCAGUAAAUGACUAAUAUAACUAAGUAUAAACCCCCCCUAUUUGCAUCCAUAAACACUUACAUUUGAGUAAGGAUAGAGCAAUUAUGAUAUGGUGAGUACAACUUCCAAACUGCUGGUUCAGUUGUCCCACGGUCCAGCCGCACAGAGAAAACAAAGGUACUUUCAGCAAUGGUGGCAAGAACCGCGGGUGCCCGCGGCGGAGUGGCUACAAGCAACAGAGUGGCAGCGACUAGCGGGUUGGUAGUGGUUGACAAUGUGAUGGCUAGCGGAGGUGCAAAUGGAGGAGGUGGGGGCGGGUCCUGGGGCGGAGAUGACCAAUGGAGAUCUAGUACUCAGGGCAUCGUUUGCGGUUGUUCAACGCUGCAUAGACAAGCGAGGGAGUUGUUGGGCUCGCAUGCUACCUUAGUCAAACUCAAGCUAUAACCAAGCCAAGUUCAAGUGCGGACACAUAAGCUUAGACGGGCCUGGUGAAGCAGGUCCACGAGCGGGCUCGGCUUGGAUUCUUUCCAACCCAACCAACAACCUCAAGCGAGACAACCAACAUUUAGCUUUCUAUUUUCACAUGGUGGAUUAGUGACAAUAGCUACAUUUUCCCCUAUGCCUCUCAAUCCGGUUACCAAAUCCGUGCACCUCAGAUGGGUAACAUAUCUUGAAUCCGUAUGCCAUAGGAGAGGAACAAAGUAGGAUGUAGAUCAUACCGGGGUGACAGGGUGCUAAUUGUUGCAUGCAUUGCAAGAAAUGAUGUAUCAUGUGGAUAUAUAGAGAGAUGUAAUGGCCACGUGGGCCGACCUAGAUAGUAUGUAUCAUGAAAGUACAAACUUAAAUGUCCUGACUCAUACAGCUCUCAACCACCUGCAAACAAUGCUAUAAUUGUUCCAUUGACGAGCAUUGAGAUUCCCUCACCCCUCACCCCACCCACAUAGGCACACGGAACGGGACGAGAUGAAACACAUAGUGAGGUUCAUAACCAGGUUUUGCAAUCCAGGAUGACUAUGAGACUUCAACACAGACUAUAAAUUGUUUAACCAGCCAGGUACACAUCCCCCUCAUGCUCAAUUUUGUGCCACACCUCAUCCAGCUCCACAUCCUAAAAUGGCUGAAGUAGGGAUUACAAGGCCACCUGUUCCUACUACACAAAUUACCGACCCAAUGUUUCUAGUCAGCCACACCAUAUGUCUGGGAGAACCAACGAGCUUUUGCUGUCUAAGAUCAAGAGGCUAGUCGGUACUUGUCAGUGGCUCAGUGCCUACGCAAAUAAGAAUAGGACCUGACAUCGAGCCGCUAGCAAGAAAGCUAAUUUUCUUGGCAAAUCUAAGUGGUGAACCAGGCAACCAUGGGAGAAAUCUUGCACUGUGAAAACAAAUUCAUCAGCGAUUCCUUUAGGGCAGCCGUAUGAGAGAUUGACAUACACAUGCCAAUAAAUAUUCUUUGCCGGGCCAAUCCUGAGCACCACUGGCAUAAACGAAGAAAAUAAUGAGGUGGGCACAAGAGUGCGCCCUGAGGGAAACAGAGAUCCCAACUCCCACCAGAGGGACAUCCGUGGCAAGAAGGCUCGGACAAGCUCCUUCCCAUUGUUUGAGCCUAGGAAUUUCUAGAAGAACCAGUUUUGUUGGCAAGUGACUUUUACCUGCUGUUUUACUGUCUCUAUGUCGUCUGCUCAAGCCCCACCAUGACAGUGGGGGUGAAGAUAUGGAGAACUGCUGAAACAGUUGCUCCUUCGGGGCAACAAUGAUACAGAGACGACGAUGAUCUUUAGAUCUUUAUAGUGAGCGAGGAUGGUGCUAACUUUGUUUGAUGUUUACGAACUGACUAAUAACCGUCGUUUUUUUCUUUCGCAUGCGUUAGGAGUUCAGUUGUUUGGUGCGCUUAAUAGGUAGUAGAAGAGUUGAUUAAACUGUUCAUGGUGUGAAGAACCUUUUGAUUUGCAGCUGACUUUGUUCACAUUGCGGACUUUGGAGUGUUCAUUCUGUUACUGUGGUAAUCGUUACCCACGUGUGAAGGCAUCAUCUCCAACUGUCUUAGUGUUUGAUUGUUUCUCUUCCAGUUGUGUUUGAGGGAAUGAAUUAACCCAGGUGAUAUUGUUUGUUCUGUGCUGUUGUUCAUCUGUCAAACGUUUGUGAUUACAGUUGAGCAAGUAUUGUUUUGUAUCAUGAAUUCAUGACUAAUGUAGUAGCAGAAGUUAAACAUAGCUUCAUGCAUCCAUAGGUUAUGGAUACUACAAGGAAGCAUCAUCAGGUGCACGAGCAGCCUGUACAGUCCAACAUCUUGAUCGAAGCAACACCUUUCCCAAUACCUCGCAAUCCGGUUAUGCUUCACCUCAUGCGGUAAACAUAUCUUGAAUCCAUAUACCAUUGGAGAAGAACAAUGGAGGAUGUAGAUAAUACUUUUGGUGGCUAUGUCGUGGCCAGGCUGUUUGUGCUAUGCAUUGCAGGACAUGUUGUACCCUGGGGGAUAUAUAUAUAGAGAGAGCUAGGGAUUUGAUGGCCAUGUGUAGAGCUAACCAUAACUUAUGCAACCCGUAGGCACAAACCUGAAUGUCCUGGCUUGUAGAGCUCUCAAACACCACCAGCCAUGAUACAAUCGACUCACCAACGGGCAUUGAGACGCCCUCAUAAAAGGCAAAAUAAAAACCCGAGAGGCAACAAAAUCCGAAGAUACUUUGUUAGAACCGCACGACAAUCGUGGUUAGCAUCUCAAAACUGAUGUCAACAAUAGAUGACGGUUCCUUGGAGCAUCCGCAACCCUUGGGGCUAAACCUCUAUACGUCUCUCCAAUAGAAAAAACACAGACCUAUCUUACUCCAUUGAUAUCAUCAUCGUAGUAAUAACAAAGUAAUUGAGUUCAAGUGGUUCCUUAGAUAAGAAGAAAUUCACAUAAUUUAUCCUUGUUGAUGGAAAGAAAACUAGUUUAAGAUGAAAAGUAAGUGCUCGUGGAUGUGACCACAAUGAAGCAUGCCCCUUUGCAGUCAAUCUGUCGAAUCUUUCGUGCAUAUUUUCUGUCAAUGCCCGUCCUCUGUCGAAACAUGAUUUAAGCCUAGCCUAAUAUGCAUUGAUUAACAAAGGUGUUAUUAAAUGAUAUGAAUAAAUAAUAGUACUGAACUAAACCUUCACUUUUUUGCAUCCAUACAAAUUCCAUUUGAUUAACCAUGGAACAGUUAUUAUAUGAUGAGUACAAGUUCCAAACUAUCACACAAAACUUCAGAAUGCUUGAGCGCAUGAUACCCUGGAAUCAUGAAAUGAAGACCUGAAAGAAUUUAUAGGUUGUACUCCCUUCGUAAAGAAAUAUAAGAGCGUUUAGAUGAGUGCGGCUAAUCUGCACCCGGGCUCAUCUGCACCCCCGCUUAAAAAAAAUUCAAAAAAAAUACUAGAAAAAUUCAAAAAAUUCCAAUUUUUUGUGGUGGCAGAUAAUUUGACGCGUGAGGUGCGCACCAAAAUUCAACUCAUUUGAGCAUCUGAGCAGCUCUCGGCAAAAAAGACAAAAUCAGGGUCUGUAAAAAUGUUUACUGUUCAUGCACUGUUUUGACCCGAUUUGUCUUUUUUGCCGACAGCUGCUCAGAUGUCCAAAUAAGUUGAAUUUUGGUGCGCACCUCACGCGUCUAAUUAUCUACCACCACAAAAAAAAUUGGAAUUUUUUGAAUUUUUCUAGUAUUUUUUUUAAAUUUUUUGCUGAGAGGGAGCAGAUGAGCCCGGGCACCGUUUUGAGUUUUCCCGUUUAGAUCACUAAACUUUCUUAUAUUUCUUUAUAGAGGGAGUAGUUGAUAGACAAGUUAGAUAGGCCAUGAUGGAGUGGCGGUGACUGGCGGAUGGCACUGAGGUGGAAAGAGCGGCAGUGGCCGGCAGAGUGGAAACAACCAGUGGUGGAACACAUGGUUGGGUGGGGCCAACGACCACUCUAACAUGCAUGCAUUGAGUGCGGGGGUUUGUUUCAGAACAAGAGCUCGUGCGCCGGUGCAUGAGAAAAAAACUGAGCAUGGGAGGAAGUUUUGCUAGGCCCGCAGGCAGACCGAGUGAAACUCAAGCUUUGACCAAGUCGAAUCCAAGUCCAACUUUUAUGGCUUAGAUGAGCCUUGCAAAGCAGAGCCAUGAGCUAGCUCGGCUCGACUUGUUUUCAAACGCAAGGAGCAACCUCUAGCCAGACAAUCAGUGUUUAACUUUUCUUUUUCAUCGAAAAAGGCUUUCGCCCCACUUUAUAUAUAAAGAAAAUCGUCACAAGCACAACCGGCAUCCAAUAGGAUAGUAGCACAACACACAACACACACCACACACACACACACACACACACACACACACACACACACAAGUUCGCACAAGAAAAGUAUUCUGCUGAGGGCACCACCACAAGAAGCCCUAAGAAACAAAAGCGGUACAUGCCGCGAGGGCGCUCCGUAGAGCUAGUUCAGAUCUUCCCUUUUUCACACAGUGGAGUAUGGAUGGUAGCUACAUUUUUUCCAAUGACUCUCAAUCCAACUUCCAUUCAUCUCUUCAGGGAAAUAGAUCUUGAAUUCAUGUGGUGUUGGAGAAGAACAAAGAAGGAUNNNNNNNNNNNNNNNNNNNNNNNNNNNNNNNNNNNNNNNNNNNNNNNNNNNNNNNNNNNNNNNNNNNNNNNNNNNNNNNNNNNNNNNNNNNNNNNNNNNNNNNNNNNNNNNNNNNNNNNNNNNNNNNNNNNNNNNNNNNNNNNNNNNNNNNNNNNNNNNNNNNNNNNNNNNNNNNNNNNNNNNNNNNNNNNNNNNNNNNNNNNNNNNNNNNNNNNNNNNNNNNNNNNNNNNNNNNNNNNNNNNNNNNNNNNNNNNNNNNNNNNNNNNNNNNNNNNNNNNNNNNNNNNNNNNNNNNNNNNNNNNNNNNNNNNNNNNNNNNNNGGGAGGUGUAUAUAUAGAGAGAUCUGGGCAUGUAAUUGCCAUGUGAAGACCUAGCGAAAUAUUACCUCUGUCCCAAAUGACUUGCCUUAAAUUUGUUUAGGUACCGAUGUACCUAACACUAAAACAUGUUCAAAUAUUUUUUUUUCAAAAGUAGCACGUUUUUUAUAGCAAUUUUGAAAACUAGCGGUGCUAACACGUUAUUUGCCAAACUAGCACCCCGUCAGUCAGCCGUUGGCCGAAGAGUGACUCUUCAGUCAGGUGUUGGCCGAAGAGUGUGUUUUCGGUCUGGCGUUGGCCGAAGACCUGCGGUGUCUUCGGCCAGCAGAUGGCCGAAGAGUGCUUUUCUGUCAUUUGUUGGCCGAAGAGUUCAUACUCUUUACGUUAACACCUGACCGAAGUUCCAUGGGAUUACUCUUCGGCUUACACAAGAGAACGGAGAACAUGCACCAACGGACAACACCAACGCCACCCCCUCGGCGGCACGAAGCUGCACCUCCUCCUCACCAGCCAAACCGCCUCCUCCUCCUCACCCCAUCAUGACUCUAACUCACUUGUACGCACAAAUAACUAUUCCAUAGAAAAAAAAUGACCGUAGGCCGGUGGAGAUGGCUACGAUAUACCAUUUCUGUGGUUUGGAUUCAAAAAUAGGUGGAGAAACGAAGAGAUCAGGGGGUGGGGGGGACGUACAGAGAGGAACCAAAGAGAGAGAGAGAGAGCAAGAACAACGAGACGAAAAAAGAAACCAGCUCGGGCCUUAUCCAAAGGUCUUCGGCCACUCAUUAGCCGAAAAGGUUUUCGGCCACGGGCUGGCCGAAGAGGCCCGUCUUCGGCCCAGCUCACACACUUUUCGGCUUACGUGUAACCGAAGAGUCCUCUUCGGGCUUCGGCUGGUCAGAAAGGCCCUCAUCGGCCAACGGUUGACCGACGGGGUGCUAGUUUUGCAAAUAACGUGUUAACACUGCUAGUUUUCUAAAUUGCUAUAAUAAAUGUGCUACUUUUGAAAAAAAAAUUCAAAUACAUCACUAUUUAGAACAAUCUAAGACAAAUAAUUCGGGAAGGAGGGAGUAAUAUGUAGCCUGCAGGUACAAACUGGAAUGUCAUGGCUUGUACAUGUCUCAACCACCCGCAGCCAAUGAUACAAGUCCACACACACAUGCACACGCACACGCGCGCGCGCACACACACAUACAUACCACAUAGACACAUACACGCACGCACUCACUCACACACACACACACACACACACGCACGCACACACACACAGGAUGCAUCAUAAUGUGAGGAUGCUUCCUUGCGUGACAAAGGAGGUAAGUCAUCCUAAAACUGGUAUAAAAAUAUAGGAUGCCUCUUAACAUCCACUAUUGGUUGCUUCAUCAAACAUGAAAUGCAGUUUAUCCAAAUUGAAAAGGUACAAUUUAGAUAUACGAGACCAGAACACACUUCUUAACACUGAUAUCAAUAUAUUAUGAAGCCACCGCACAUGACACAAUUUAUUCAACAACUACCUCUAGCAAGGACACAAUUGAUUCGCUUACUUGCAUUAGGAUGCCCUCACAUAAAGAAAAAUAAAAAAUGGAGAGGCAACAAAAACUGAGGACAUUUCCUUAGAAUUGCACAACAAAGCUCGGUUGGCAAUCUCAAAACUGAUCUCAACAAAAGAUUACGGUUCCUUAGAGCAUUAAUUCACAAUCCUUGGAGCUGAACCUCUAUAUAUCUGUCAUGUUAAAAGACGUAUCUCCUAAACACCGUUUUAGUCUUCUUUAACCCCACCAAUAUCACCAUUGUACCAAUAACUGAGUAAAUAAAUUUAAGAUUUUUUGGUUAAGAAGAAAUUCAUAGGAUUUAUCCUUGUUGAGAGAAAGAAAGCUAUAGUUUUAAGAUGAAAAAGAAGUCAGGUAAAUUUAUGCGCUUUGAUUACUACUAAACAUUCUUCAUGGCAUUUUCCCCUGAUCAGCUUGGUAUGCUGCAAAUCGCGAUCCUUUGCAUGCACUUGCUGAAACAAAUUGCUGCACUAGUCAUCUCUUUCUUUACUUGCUAUCAUUUCACCGCGUACUUCAUAGUAGCUAAGGAUACGUGAGCUCACAAGGUGUGAAAUAAGAAUAAGACCAAUCGAGACUUCAAAUGGGACAAUUUGAGCUGUAGAUCAUAAUGCCCAUUUGAAGGUAAAUCUCAACCAUAGAUGACUACUAGCACUAAACAUAAACCUUUCCUUCUUUGCAUUCACAAAUUUUUCAGUUGAGUACGUAUUGAGCAAUUAUGAUAUGGCGAGUACAACUUUCAAACUACUGGUUCAGUUGUUCAUGCGGCUCCGUCGUGUAGAGAAUGCAGAGGACGGUCAGCAAUGCUGGCAAGAACAACGAGUGACCGAGGUGGAGUAGCUACGUGCGAGGGAAUGGCUCCCAUUGGAGGAUUGACUGUGGUUAACGGAGUGGUGCUGGCUGGCCAAGGAGCAGACGGACGGGGUGGGAGCCGGCUGUGGAGUGGAGAUGCCUGACAGGGCUCUAGGAUUUCGUGCAUUGCAUGCUGGGGUCGGGAUCAGGAGAAGAGCAGAUACACGGGUACAGUGACAAGCAGCGGGAGUCGUUGGGCUUGCGUGCAGCUCUCGCCGAACUCAAGCUUUGACAUGGCCGAGUUCAAGCUUAGUUUUGUGAGUUUUGACGAGCCUGGACGAGGCAAGUCAUGACCCCGCUCGACAUGGCUUGUUUCCACCCCAUAAGCUAGAGAGACAUCAUUUAGCUUUCUUGUCACCGAGAGGGUUGUUGAUGGAUGCUACAUUUUUCCCAAUACCUUACAAUCCAAUUACAAUUUACCACAACCGGGUAAUAUAUCUAUGAAUCCAUAUACAUAGAAGAAGAACAAAGGAGGAUGUAGAUCAUAUUGUGGUGGCCUGCAUGCUAAUUCCUGCACACAUUGCAAGAGAUGAUGUAUCUUGGGGAAUACAUAUAUAGAGUUGGGCAUGUAAUGGCCAUGUGCUAGCUAAAAAUCAUGUAUUCAGCAGGUACACACAUAAUGUCCUGACUUGUAGAGCUCUUAAAACCAUCGUCAGCCAAUAAUGAUAGAAUCAGUUCGUUAUGAGCAUUGGAGUGCCCUCAUAAAGAAAAAAACUCUUUAGAUGCAGGACACAUGGAGGAGGAUGCUUCUUUACAUCUGCACAAUAGUAUGGUUAGGCCAACCCCAAUGCGGAUCACCAAAACAGACAUUACCAAAUCUCUGCGGGCAGACGCCGUUUAACCGGAGUCACCAAAUAUCUGGUCAAAUCCGAACAGAUAUUUAACAAAAGCCGAUGAAAUUCAUACAACCAGUAGGACAAAAAUUAACAAAGUUUGAAUUAACCGGAAAAAAAAAAUCAAAACUACACUCGAGAUACAGGACGAUGACCUUGUACGCAUGGUCCCUGAGACAGCCGACACCAUAGUCCUUGUCUGCGCCGUCGCCACUGCCGUCAGAGCCGUCAUAUUCAACGUGCUUUCAGUCCACAGGAACAUUGGCAAGCAUCGCGACAACCCUCAUUGGUUACUGCUGCACAAUUGCGGUCCAGUAAGUUGGCCUCCUUCGCCUAGGCAGCGCCUUGGCCGCCUCGGUGGGGAGCCGGAUCCCCUGACGUACGGCCACCUGACGUUGGGCCACUGACGCGUGGAUCCGGGUCCACACGUCAGCGAGUGCGCCGUACGUCAGAGGAGCUGCGUCCCCUCGGUGGUGCCGACACAACCGUGGACUCAGUCGCGCGCAGCACACAUUUGAGCCGGUCCAAGCACUCGGACUCGGCCAACCCCACUUUGAGGAGCUGGUCGCUGAUCUGGCACCCGCCACAAGUGGUGGUCUGCGCGGUGUUCCUGGACCGGUCAAUGCCUAGGCCUUCGCGACUGCACACCUCGCGAACGACACCCGAUGGUAUGCGUUUCAUCACUACUAGAGCGCCGCCUCACAGGCCACCAUGGAGGACACCAUCAUUCUUGAAGACGAGCUGUUGCCACCGAGGUAGUAGGCGAGGUGUCUGCGCUGUAAAAAUUAUUGAAUGAUUGUGUUGUUAUGUGUUGUUGUAUUGAUCUAACACUCGUAGGGGUAUAUAUAAAGUACAACAUGCGAUGAGACUUGGAGUACAAGACAAGUCAUAGUAUAUUAAAACUAAUUCUAUCUCCAUCUCUCCUUAUCUCUAACUGAACACGUUUAUAUUAUUACAUUCCCCCUCACUCGUAGCGGGUCGCCGGAGUGAAGCGGACAAGUACGACUGAAUUUGAAGUCUUGUGCUUCCGUCGUCUUCUCCGCUGCGCCAUCAUCAAUUGCGUCUCUGAUGGGUCGGCACCUAGGGCGGUGACUGCGUCCCCUUCUCGUGCUUCCUUGUCUCUUCCCUCUUCCCUGUCGUAGUCACAGCAGGAGUGACGUGAACGCUGAUGACGACGCGGAAGCUGUUGACUGGAGUUGUUGCCGAUAUGUUGCUGUAGACGUAGCCAUUAAUGUCAAUAUCGAGGUAGCCGAUCAUGGUGAUGUAGCCGUGGUCGAGGUAGUCGUGGUCGAUGGUGUGGUCGUCGUGGAUGAUGAAGCCGCAUAGAGCCUGAAGGCGCAAAAAAUGCGCUAUGACGGAGCUGCAGACGUGGACGAUGCACCUUGCGGAUGUGAGAGGGUGCCAUCGGUGACAAGUUGCCGGUUUUGCCAAGACCAGAGGAAGCCCAUCAAGAACACAUCGGUUUUGCUAGAACCGUGUGGCCAUGUAGGGUCGUCACUGUAGUGACGCCGUGUCGAUGCAGUCGUGCUGUCGUGGAUGACGCCAUCGAUGCUGUCGUCGUUGUCGCGUCUUGCAGAAAAGUCUGUCAGAGGACACUAGGUGUCCAUCUUGUGUACAAGGCAGCGGCGGUGCGUUGACGAAAAUGUUGGUGAAGACCAUGUUGAUGAAGAGCUUGGCGAUGAUGUUGCAGCGGCGUGUCGACGAUAAUGUGUCGCUUGAAGGCGUCCCUCGCGGCGACCAAGUGUCAAUGCCGUGUCGCGCCAGAAAAGUCAAUGAAGAUUGCAUCUCGUUCCACACCGGCCUGACGUGUGGAUGGUGCAUGUUGAGAUCGCUUCUCGUAGACAUACUCGUCGAAGUAUAUUGGCUUGUAGUCUGGCGUAGUGUAUAGCUUGAUGAUGCGGCGUGGGUCGGCGGAUGGUGCGUCGUUCAGUCGCGUGGCCGCCCUCCCGGUCGAUGCCUCGUAUAUGCGCAAAUGGAUGUGUAGCUGGCGGUUGUCGAUGGCUGCACGUGUCGGAGUCCAUGUAUCGCUGCAUGCAUCUCCUCGCAUGGCUGGAUGGGCCUUUGACAAUGGAGGCUGCUGGGGCGGCUUGGGCGGCACCGUAAGCCAGCCGCCGCCCGCUCCCCUCCCUCCAUCUCUUUCCCUCGCCGUCACCUGAGGAGUCCGGCGAGAAAUCUCACUGCGCUUUCGAGGAGGGUGGCAACCAGGCGUUCUCUCUCCAGCCCAGGCGAGUGGUGCGGGAAGCCAACGCGUGGAGUGCUCAUGGCGGCUGGUGUCAAGGCUCUUGUAGAUCCGGCUCGCUGGUGGUCGGGGAUGCAACGUAUGAUGGCGGAUCCGGUGAGCAGUAGGUGCUCCGUUGGUGUAGUGCAGUCGUUGGGCGUCGACGUGGCUUCGGUCGUGGACGUCGGUCCCCAGCCCGGGGGAUCUGGAUCUGGCCGGUCUGCCCCCCUAUCUGCGGGCUGGUGGCCUAGAAGGAGUGCUGCUGGCGGUCGGUGGUGCCCGGUUGGCGCGAGCAAGUAGGCUCUGGCCGUGGUGGAUGCGUGGGGUGCAGGGCCGAUCUGGCUUGUGCAAGCCCGACGUCGCGGGGGCUCAGCGGGCCCGUGUUUGCCGGCGGUGAGGAAGAUGGUGGUCCUGGGCAGUGUUGGCGUGCUCGCUGCGUUGGGGUGCGCGGCCAGCGGAGGUACUUGUCGGCCUUGGCUGGCUGCGUGGGAGUGGUUGCUCCGGGCGAAAGCUUGGCCGGUGCUCGCCGGUCGGCGACGACGGCGCCCGUGGGCGUCGUUAUCCUCCUUGGAGGCAUCGUUGGGAUCUGCAUCCUCUACUCCCGGGUCAGGAUCUUCGGGUGAAACCCAAGAUCCUGCUAUAGGAUCGGGCGGUGGCGUCGUCUUCAAUGUCGUUUUCCCCUCUUUAGAACGCCGUCUUGAAGAUCCUGGUCCCAUUGGUGCCUCCUACGGGCUGGCCGUGCACGGCAUUGUGGCUAUCCGUUUGUCAAUGAGGGUGGUUGGACUUCUAUGGCAACGAUGACGGUGGUGAGCAUGGUCGGGGGCAUGGCAUUGGUCGUGGUAGUUGGCUCUUCUCCGACGUGUCCGUUGGAUGGCCUUAGCUGCUUGUUGCUGUGAAGUCGAAGCCGCGGUGCAGGGCGGUGCGGGGCCCUGGUGGCGUACGACAGGUGCUCCGUUUGGCGAUUCUUCGCGACGCCAACCUUGCCUAGUUCUCCGUAGUUCUUCGUUGGAGUCGAAGCUACGUUGUCUUGUUGUGGGUGGAUGGUGAUCCACAACGUGAGUAUAGUGUUGUUCUGCAGCCAAUAGGUUGUCGUUUUUUUUUCUUUUUUUUUGAUCUUUGGAUCCUCUUCAUGUUGUUUUUCCGUUGCUUUCUGCUAAAUCUAAUCGAAGCCAGCAAUUUGCUGGAUCUUAAAAAAAAAGAUAAUGGAGGCUGCUGGUGGCUGUUUGAGGAGCCGGUGGCCGCUCUGGAUCACGCUUGCGCGAUUCCUGCCGUGCGUGCUCGUGGCCGGCCCUCCUGUGUGGCCUCGGCUGGUGGACGCGAGGAGGUGGUCGUCGUUGCCCUUGAUCUCUCAGCCUGUGCAAAGCUAGCUAGCCUGAGGCUUGAUCCAUCACUGGCCAAAUUACCAAGCUAGCUCACGAUGCGAGGAUGCCGCGGCCGGCGCGGCCUUCCGGAUCGAAGGUGUCGUGUGCCUGGUGUCGAGGGAGCCGCCCAAAGCCACGAGAUGUGUAGCUUGAUGCCGCAGGUGAUCGCCGCCGCGUACGUCGAUAGGUGUUGUACGAUUGGCCGCCGGUAUAAGCACCAAUUUUUGCUGGAAUUUGAGGGCAGCAGGAUUUUAUUUGGUGGCUAAUUGAAUUAAUCUAGUGGAUGGAUUUUGGAAAACUCGAAAUUGGAAACCUAUGAAAAUCUAAUUGGAUCUAAUCUAUCUAAUGAACCGGUCUAUCUUUGAUGGUCGGAAGCCACGCCCUCGGGGAGAGGAGAUUAAUCUACCCGGAGGCGACACACUGCGGAAGUGGUGGAAGGUCCUAGGAUCAGCGUCGUUGGACAAACUGCUCUAAUAUCAUGUAGAAAUUGUAGGAUGGUUGUGUUGUUAUGUGUAGCUGUAUUGAUCUGACACUCGUAGGGGUAUAUAAAAAGUACAACAUGUGGUGAAACUUGGAGCACAAGACAAGUCAUAGUAUAUUAAAACUAAUUCUAUCUCCAUCUCUCCUUAUCUCUAACUAAAUAUGGUACCUGAGCCAAGAGUUUCAAUAAACGAUUCUGCGGUCUACAUCAAUCCCACGUCUAAGGACUAAAAUAGACUAGACGUGAUGGGUGGUGUUGAAGUGUAAUGUCCGGUCCUCUUUCAUAGUUCGGACUGAUGGUGAACUGGUUAAUUGCAUAAACUUACAACCAAGAGGUUCAGGGUUCAAAACCCAGUAAAAGCAAUAAAUAAUUGUGGCCUGCCCCCGCUUGCGCUGCCUUCGUCGUAUAGCCAGUAGCUCCCGGAGUGACAACUGCGUACACCUCCAAGAAUAUUUAUUUAUCAGGUAAGAUGCCUGUGUAAAUUGCAAGAUUUUUGAAAGUUUAAUCAUGACUCUCAGUUGGAAAAAAUAUUUAUAUUGUUGGAGACAAUUGUAAGACUACUGAAUUUAGUUGUGCUGAAACUUUCAACCAAGAUGAAAUGAUUCCACAUUUGGACCCUGGGAUGGUUUCUUCAACCGUUGAUCCUGAUGCUGCUGGAUACGCUGAAAGAGCAAACAAAGCCAAGAAGCCAGUCAAGAUUAGUGCCCGAAGCCUUGCAAAGCCGGAAAGAAACGAGGUGAUGAAAGCUGCAGCAAAAGCUCGGGCAUCAUCCUCUAUUCUCCGACCAAUAGAUGCCCGCCAUGGCAAUGAAGCUGAUAUUAGCUCCAGUGGCAAUGCCAAUGUCAGGAGUAGCAUGAGUGUUGACUACAGUGCUACAAAGGAAUCGAGGAGUGAGAUGCUGCUGUUCCCUCUACGGAACUUGUAUCCGCAGAGUCUUGCCAGUUACGAUGACUAUGAGACUGGCACACAGACUGCAAACAGUUUAAACAGCCCGGUCCACAUCCACAAGUUUGCCCCUCAUGCUCAAUUUCGUGUAGCACCUCAUCCAGCUCCACCUCCUAAAAGGCCUGCGCUAGGGAUUACAAGGCCACAUGUUCCUGCCACACAUAUAAGUAACAACCCAAUGUUCCAGUCAGCCACAUCAUAUGUCAGGGAGAACCGAAGAGCCUCUGUUGUCUGGGAUCAAGAGGCUGGUCGGUACGUGUCAGUGCCCAUGCAAACAACAAGAACAGGGCCCGGUGUUGAGCUGCCUGCAAGAAACCCAAGUUUCUUGGUGAAUCCAAGUGGUGAACCAGGCAACCAUGGGAGAAAUCUUGCACCUGCCAACACAACUUCAUCAGCGAUUCCUUCGGGGCAGCUGUCCGAGAGGUUGACGUACACAGGCCAAUCAAUAUUCUUUGGCGGGCCAAUCCUGAGCACCACUGGCAUAAAUGAAGAAAGGAAUGAGGCGGGCACAAGAGUGCGUCCUGAGACAAGCAGAGAUCCCAACUCCCACCAGCGUGACAUCCGUGGUGAGAAGGCUCGGACAGGCUCCUUCCCGUUGUAUGAGCCUAGGAAUUUCUAGAAGAACCUGCUUUGAUGGCAAGUGACCUUGACUGGCUGUUUUACUCUUCUAUACUAUGUCGUCUGCUCAAGUGCCACCACCACGACAGUGGGGGUGAUGUUGAUGCACUGCACCCCAUGCAGAGUCAGGGAACUGCUAAAAUAGUUGACCCGGGACACAUAGAUAACGAUGCUUCUUAGAGCUUUAUUAUAGUGAGCGAGGAUGGCGCUAACUUUGUUUGAUGUUUUACAAACUGACUGAUAGUCGCAGUUUUAUUUUGCGUGUAUUAGGAGUUGAGAUGUUUGAUGCGCUUGGCAUGUAGUAGAAGAGCUGAUUAAACUUGUCCUUGAUGUGUAGAACCUUGUGAUUUGCCGCUGACUUUGUUCACAUUACGGACUUCGGAGUGUUCAUUGCAAGUCUCUGUUCUAUUACUGCUGUAAUAGUAGCCCACGUGUGAAGGCAUUGUCUCCAACUAUCUUGGCGUUUGACUGCUUUAUUUUCGUGUUGAGAGAAUGGAAUUUGACCGGAUGAUACUGCUUGCUGCAUAAUUGAUGUUCAUUUUCC
rnacentral:lncRNA from 1 species